rnacentral:rRNA from 1 species
UUCUACGGCCAUGCCACCCUGAACAAGCCCGAUUCUGUCUGAUCUCGGAAGCUAAGCAGGGUCGGAGCUGGUUAGUACUUGGAUGGGAGACCACCUAGGAAGACCAGAUGCUGUAGGUG